GUCCAGAAAUGGGAAUCGAACCCAACAGUGAUCCGCUUACUGGGCAGAUGUCAUGUCCACUAGGCUACCCUGGA
rnacentral:tRNA from 1 species